AAAAUGUGAAAGAUAAUCACAAGCCAAAACAUGCAUUUUAAAGACUGAGGUUGUACCUUCACAAUAAAUAUAAAACAAGAUGUGUCUAAGAGAAAUGUCAGCGAUAUCAACUGUCAAACUUAGUAUUUAUGGAAAUUGGAAUUUAAUACUUAAUAAAGAUAUUCCUGCUAUUUUCAGGUUUUUAAAAAACUUAGUUUUUUGAGACAAGUCUUGCUCUGUUGCCCAGGCUGGAGUAUAGUGGUAUCAUCAUAGCUCAGUGCAACCUCAAACUCCUGGGCUCAAGCCAUCCUCUUGAGUAGCUGGGACUUAAGGGUGUGCAUCACCAUAUUUGCUAAUUAUAAAAUGUUUUGUAGAGAUAGUUCUUGCCAUGUUGCUCAGGCUGGUCUUGAACUCCGGGGCUCAAGCAAUUCUCCCACCUCAGCCUCCUGAGGUGCUAGCAUUAUAGGUAUGAGACACUGUGCCCAGCAUUCAGAUUUUACUUUAUUGUGCUUUUACUUGAUAUAGAAAUUUAUAAUACUUCACAUAAAGCUAUUACACGCUGUGAAAAGUUUUGCUGCAAAUUUAACAAGAGUCCUUUCCCUAUUUAUCUUUACUCUUCCUUCCUUUGCUCACAUUUAGUACUCUGCAUUGUGCCUCUUCCUUCUAUAUCAUCAUCUCUCAGGCUAUGGAUGCAAAAUAUCAUUUUAUUUACUAGUAUUAUUUUUUGUUUUUGUUAACCACAGAGUUUCAGGAAAAAAGUGUUACUUUAUUUUAUCCUUUUAAAAUAUCAGUUGCCCUAUGAAAUAAUUGAGUGUAUUUUGGUGAUGGUGGGACUAUAGGCUACGGUUAGGAACAGUGUGCUGCAAGGCGAGACAAGUAAGACUAUUCCUGUUAGAUGAUUUGUGAUAACUAUUAGUGGGAGUUAGAUUGCCUGUUAGGAACAGACUCAAGAUUACUGUUUCAUCUCUGUAGUCUAUGCAGAGGAAGCAAAAUGUAUAAAAUUAUGAAGGAAGGAAAUGCAACAGCAAAUCAUUCAGGGUGGGUAGAGUAAAUCCUCAGGGUAGAGGUUGAAAAUGCAUUCGACAGAGAAAGGCAGAGCUUGAUCAUGUAUGUCAUGCUAAAGUAUUUGGCCUUUAACCUGACGGAGAAGGAGAGUAAUAGAUUCCAAAUGGAGAUUCUAAUAGUUCCCACAAUGAAAAUGGUGAAUUUUUUUUCUAUUGUAAAGGGAAUAUGUGCUUGUUGUAAAAUGCAAAAAAGCAAUA